AGAGGGGAACAAGCAGCCGCGCAAGCUCCGUCCAUGGAGUAGUGAGGAAAGUCCGGACAUCAUAGGGCAGGGUGCCGGGUAAUACCCGGGCGUCGUGAGGCGAUGGAAAGUGCAACAGAAAAUAUACCGCCCCAAAGGGGUAAGGGUGAAAAGGCGAGGUAAGAGCUCACCGCACAGACCGUAAGGGAUGUGGCAGUGCAAACCCCACCUGAUGCAAGGUCAAGUAGUCAGCCCUUAAGGGUUGCCCGCCCGUGGCUGAGGGUAGACCGCAAAGAGCUUUAUGGCAACAUAAAGCCAAGAUAGAUGGCUGCAUAAACAGAAUCCGGCUUAUGGUCCCCUCUGUUU
rnacentral:RNase_P_RNA from 1 species